ensembl:lncRNA
CGCGGACCCCGGGCCGGCCGCGGGCGAGCACGGGGACAGGCGUGCCGGCCGGCGUGGGCUCUCCGGCUGACCACGCGGCAGACCCCGGGCCGCAGUCGCCCUGGGGUGGGGGUCGCCGGCCGACAGACAGGUGCCUGGUGAGUAUCUGUCCUGAUGGCCUCUGCCCUCCGCCACCGCCACGGAUCGCCUUACACGCUGUGCUUUUCGGGUGUCCCCCCACCCCGGUACAGUAUUUCAUUUUCUGUGCGCUUCCAGGAAGGAGCAACCGGGGCCUCGUUUACACGUCUCAGGGAGCACACGAGACGCUUCUCAUCUCUGCACGGUUCUGAUGCUUCUCGGUUACCGUGCGUGUUUCUGGGUAUGACAUUCAAGUAGCGUGUCUGACGGAGGUGCUGGUUGUCGACGCCUCCUGCGGAUCCUGGUCUGUGUCUGCCCCCCGCAGACUCUGCUCCUGCCCCCCGCUGCAGCCACGCGUCUCACCUCUUUGUGAGUCUGUCUGUUUCAUAGGUGAGUUUGCCUGUGUCGUAUCUCAGGUUCCACAUGUGAGUGAGUGUCCUGGUCCCUGUCCCUCUCUCUGACUUCACUUAGUGUGAUCCUUUCCAGGUCCAUCCGUGUCCCCGUGUUCAUAGCCACAUCCCUUCCCGCACGCGUGUCUUCUGUCCACCGCCCCCAGCCCCUCGGACCCCCAGCGCUCCAGGAACAGCGGCCGGUUUGCCCCUUGUGCCUCAGACACGUUUCUCACCCUCUCUGUGCCCGUGUCCUUUGGAGUAAAAGGAGACACGUCGCACUAAACCUUCCUUGAAAGAUUGUCACGUGGCUCAAGUGAGCCCCCGCGGGCUGAGCAGGCAAAAGCGGGCCGCAGGAAGCAGUCCACGCCAUCACCCCAGGCUCUAGCCCCAAGAGUCUUCAGAGAGCCUCAGGGUCAACCGAGAAUGGGACGUUCGCCUUGAAGGGAAAAGAGCUGGUUCCUCCCAGACCAGAGAGGAACAGGACAGAGGUGGUGUCCGGGCCAGCCGGAUGGCAGGGAGCUCAAGGCCGCCGACCUUGCCCAGUGACCUUUCCAUGGAGGCCUGAAGACCUCUGUCACACAGACGCCCGUGGCUUGCCCUUCAGCCUUGCGGAGCGUCUCAUCAGGAGUAGGAGCAGAGAAGAUACUAAAUGCAUUUCCUCAUCCAGUGACCUACGGUUUUCCUCCCGUUUUCUGUGAACCUGGUGCAUUCUGUUGGUUGAGGUUUUAACGUUAAACCAAACGUUCUUCUGAUACAGCCCACUUAAUCGUGGCCUGUUACCUUCGGUGUGGUGCUGAAUGUGAUUGGUUAACUUUCUAAGAACUCGCUGCAUUUUCUUACGGCUCUUCUGUGAUCACGGGGCUGUGACUCUGGUUCUUCUCCCAUGACAUCUCUGUGGCCGCAUGGCUCCACCUCGUUAAAAGAGUUGGGGAGUGUUUCACCUUUUAUUUUCUGGAAGAGUGUGUUUCACCAGUAAUUUUUUUUUUCUCUAACGUUUGGUGAAAUUCACCAGUGGAACCAUCUUGACCUGGAGUUUUAAGAGAAGGGUUUUAACUUCAUGUUUAGCUUUUGGACUAGGUAGAGAGCCGUUGAGGCUGUCCCUUCAGUGUGAGGCCAACGUCAUGACCGCCGCAUGACCGCCGCCUGUCUCUGGAGUGAGUCUCUGUUGUGCGUCUUUUCAGAUUUUACCCAUUUCAUCUGAGCUGCUGAGCUUCUCGUCAUAAAGUCACUUGGCUGUCUCCUUACUGUCUUUUGUGUCUGUAAGAUCUGUGGUGGUAAUACCCACUUUCAUUCUUGCUAUCGGUAGUUUCUGUCUUUUCCUUUUUUUUUCUCUUAUUAAUCAGUGUAGAAGUUCGCCUGUUUUUUUGAUUGGUCCAAAAAACCAGUGUUGUUUUUUUUUUUUUUUUUUUCAGGUAACACUAGGAGGUUGAGUAUUUUUAUUUCCCUCUCCUUCAAGAUUCUUUUUUUUUUUUUUUUUCAUUUAUUUUUAUUAGUUGGAGGCUAAUUACUUUACAAUAUAGUAGUGGAUCAAAAAACCAGUGUUAGGUUUCAUUGAUUUCCGGCCCACCCACCCCCAACCUCUUCCCCGCUCCCCCCCAAUUUAAUUGAUUUCAAAUCUUUUCUUUUAUUGUUUUCUUCAGGAUUAAAUUUGCUGUACUUUUCCUUGGGACUUUUUCCUUACCCCUUGGCUUCAUACAUAUAGAAGUUUUACUUACUUAAAGAUAGUUCAAAUUUUUCCAGGUGUCGUUCUAAUGUUGAUUUCUCAUUCAGUUUCCUUUUCAGAGACCGUUCUUUGAUUUCAUUUCUUGUAAAUUUAUUGAGAUUUGCUUUAUUGCCCAGAGAACAGUCUAUCUUGAUGAACACUCUGUGCCCACCUUUAAGCGAUAUGUAUUCCAU